rnacentral:rRNA from 1 species
GACGAACCGUGCGAACGUUAUUCGGAAUCAUUGGGCUUAAAGGGCGCGUAGGCGGCGGUGUAAGUUGGAAGUGAAAUCCCAUCGGCUCAACCGUGGAAUUGCUUCCAGUACUGCAUCGCUCGAGGGGGAUAGGGGUCUGCGGAACUACCGGUGGAGCGGUGAAAUGUGUUGAUAUCGGUGGGAACGCCAGUGGCGAAAGCGGCAGACUAGACCCUUCCUGACGCUGAUGCGCGAAAAGCUAGGGGAGCAACGGG